rnacentral:lncRNA from 1 species
CUCAGAUUUCAGAUAGAAUGUAUAGAACAAAUUUUACACCUAAUUAAACAUUAUCUUCUUUUAUGUGGUUAGGAUGUUCACACUAAUUAGAGAUUUAUGAGAGAAUGGAAUACCAUAGGGACAAUUUGAGACAUCCUUUUGAAGCCCAUGAUGUGUUGAUUAAGAUUUCGUUAAAAUUUUCUGUAUAGUUAAAGAGAUGAUAGAG